GAGUUUGAUCAUGGCUCAGAUUGAACGCUGGCGGCAGGCCUAACACAUGCAAGUCGAACGGUAACAGGAAGAAGCUUGCUUCUUUGCUGACGAGUGGCGGACGGGUGAGUAAUGUCUGGGAAACUGCCUGAUGGAGGGGGAUAACUACUGGAAACGGUAGCUAAUACCGCAUAACGUCGCAAGACCAAAGAGGGGGACCUUCGGGCCUCUUGCCAUCGGAUGUGCCCAGAUGGGAUUAGCUAGUAGGUGGGGUAACGGCUCACCUAGGCGACGAUCCCUAGCUGGUCUGAGAGGAUGACCAGCCACACUGGAACUGAGACACGGUCCAGACUCCUACGGGAGGCAGCAGUGGGGAAUAUUGCACAAUGGGCGCAAGCCUGAUGCAGCCAUGCCGCGUGUAUGAAGAAGGCCUUCGGGUUGUAAAGUACUUUCUAGCGGGAGGAAGGGAGUAAGUUAAUACCUUUGCUCAUUGACGUUACCCGCACGAAGAAGCACCGGCUAACUCCGUGCCAGCAGCCGCGGUAAUACGGAGGGUGCAAGCGUUAAUCGGAAUUACUGGGCGUAAAGCGCACGCAGGCGGUUUGUUAAGUCAGAUGUGAAAUCCCCGGGCUCAACCUGGGAACUGCAUCUGAUACUGGCAAGCUUGAGUCUCGUAGAGGGGGGUAGAAUUCCAGGUGUAGCGGUGAAAUGCGUAGAGAUCUGGAGGAAUACCGGUGGCGAAGGCGGCCCCCUGGACGAAGACUGACGCUCAGGUGCGAAAGCGUGGGGAGCAAACAGGAUUAGAUACCCUGGUAGUCCACGCCGUAAACGAUGUCGACUUGGAGGUUGUGCCCUUGAGGCGUGGCUUCCGGAGCUAACGCGUUAAGUCGACCGCCUGGGGAGUACGGCCGCAAGGUUAAAACUCAAAUGAAUUGACGGGGGCCCGCACAAGCGGUGGAGCAUGUGGUUUAAUUCGAUGCAACGCGAAGAACCUUACCUGGUCUUGACAUCCACGGAAGUUUUCAGAGAUGGAUUGUGCCUUCGGGAACUGUGAGACAGGUGCUGCAUGGCUGUCGUCAGCUCGUGUUGUGAAAUGUUGGGUUAAGUCCCGCAACGAGCGCAACCCUUAUCCUUUGUUGCCAGCGGUCCGGCCGGGAGCUCAAAGGAGACUGCCAGUGAUAAACUGGAGGAAGGUUGGGAUGACGUCAAGUCAUCAUGGCCCUUACGACCAGGGCUACACACGUGCUACAAUGGCGCAUACAAAGAGAAGCGACCUCGCGAGAGCAAGCGGACCUCAUAAAGUGCGUCGUAGUCCGGAUUGGAGUCUGCAACUCGACUCCAUGAAGUCGGAAUCGCUAGUAAUCGUGGAUCAGAAUGCCACGGUGAAUACGUUCCCGGGCCUUGUACACACCGCCCGUCACACCAUGGGAGUGAGUUGCAAAAGAAGUAGGUAGCUUAACCUUCGGGAGGGCGCUUACCACUUUGUGAUUCAUGACUGGGGUGAAGUCGUAACAAGGUAACCGUAGGGGAACCUGCGGUUGGAUCACC
rnacentral:rRNA from 1 species